rnacentral:misc_RNA from 1 species
UUGUUUUAUUAAUAUUAUACACGUUCAUUACACUGAUGUUUGUUAAGAUAGACCCAGAGGUCCACAGUUCACAGAGGUGAGGGAUAUAGAGAUGAGGCCUUUCGGCCAAUCUUUAAUGAUCCUUCCGCAGGUUCACCUACGGAAA